rnacentral:rRNA from 1 species
UACGGGGGGGGGCAAGCGUUUGUUCGGAAUUACUGGGCGUAAGGGGGCUCGUAGGCGGCCAACUAAGUCAUACGUGAAAUCCCUCGGCUUAACCGGGGAACUGCGUCUGAUACUGGAUGGCUUGAGUUCGGGAGAGGGAUGCGGAAUUCCAGGUGUAGCGGUGAAAUGCGUAGAUAUCUGGAGGAACACCGGGUGGCGAAGGCGGCAUCCUGGACCGAUACUGACGCUGAUGAGCGAAAGCCAGGGGAGCAAAGCGGG